UUUCUACACGUCACCUUCCUGCACAGUAACAAACUGGUAGAUAGCGAACUGGGUUGCUACUGGUGAUAACACAUUGUCCUGCAUUGGAGGAUGUUGUUCAUUGCUAAUGGUCCCAUACAGAGAACCAAGUCUGUAUACAGAGCUCAUGAGACAAAUAAAUGCCUGGCAGGAUGAGUGGAAAUCGUUCUUACAAGAAGGCAUGAUAUAUGACUUGGAUGCCACAAUCCUCGUACAGGCACUGAACCUGGCCUCCCUUAUCUCCACUAUAUAAUACCAUGAUGUUCAUAGAAGCAGAAGUAUGCAGAAGAGCUAAAUGCAGGCACUCAGUUGAAAUCUUCUAAUCUGAUCACAAUUUUUUUUUAAUUUUUUUUUAUUCUUCAGUGGAAAUUAACUUCUUUCCCAUUAUGCUGGUUUUGGUUGGGGUAGGUUUAAUUUUCUUCAUAGUAGCUAUUAUGGGGCUGUGUUUUGGAUUUGUGCUGGAAACAGUGUUGAUGACACAGGGAUGUGUUAGUUAUUGUUGAGAAGUGUUUACACAGAGUCAAGGCCUUUUCUGCUUCUCACCCCACCCCAACAGUGAGCAGGCUGGAGGCGCACAAGGAGUUGGGAGAGGACACAGCUGGGACAGCUGACCCCAACUGAG